UCCCCAACCCCUCGCGACCCGACUUCCCUCUCUUCUCUGUUCUCUCUCGUGGAUGAUCGACGCCGACGGAGCAAGGCUUCAGCUCCGGCGAUCUUUUCUCUGCCGGAAUCGACCCUUAAGCUCAGAUCUAGCCGAAUCCCUUCUCCUUCUCAGUCCGAUCUCUCUCUUCUCUCACGCGGAAGAUCCGACGCACUCGACGCCGACAGAGGGCAACUGCUUUCCGACGAUCUGGGCCUCUUCGCGUCGCCUGAGGACCAUCGCCGGUUUCUUGAAGGUGCUGACUCUGUCCAAGCUCUUCCGAUGGAGCGAUCCCUUCCUCGGCCGGUUCUUACGCGUGAGCGACGAUGGCUAGGUGGCUAGGGCACGGUGGAGGGCUUGGUUUUGGUUGUUUCCGACCGAUUGACCCUUCGUUUCCUCCUUCUUGAGCUGUUCACAUAACGAUCCAUGGCUCCUCAAAGUGGAUCGGAUUGGGCGAUACCUUCUGGAGGCAACCGAUUGAGGGAGGUGUUCUUGAGCUGCCGGGAAGAGGCUAGAAGGAUGGUUAAUUGAUCAGUGAUCUCCCUGCUUGACCUCCUGUUGUGAUCCGAUUGAUUCCAAUGAGGUUGAGUGUUGUGGAUCAACAAGCACGACUGUGAGGUGAGGUUCUGUGUACUGUAGGUGUUCUUGGUUCUGCUCUACUUGUUCCAGCAUCAACAGUAGCUGUGAUUUGAGGUAAGGUGUAGGAAUGAGGGUUAAUUGGAUUACUAGAUCAGUUAGUAUGAUUGGUAUAUCAUUAGUUGAUACAUGUUGUAAUUAGUUGUUGAUUGUGUGUAGAUUUAUUUAGUUUAGAAUUAAUCUAAUGGAUAAGAGUUCAUCUCCUCUUAGGUUUCUGUAUAUCCUAAUUCUCCCAUGUUUCUACCUCUUUUUCUAACAAUUAGGAUAAGAGUUCUAUGAUAGAGUUCUAGGUUUUCCAUACUUUAUUUUCUUUUUUUUUUUUAAUAUCUUUUUUGUUUUGUUCUAGUUCUAGGUUUAGUAUGUAUAUUAUCUUGAUGACAUAUUAAACGUUUUCUUUCAACUUAGGUUCCUGCAAUCUCUAUGAUUCAUUUGCAAUCUAGUUUAUUGAACUAUCUCUCUUAUAACAAUUAAUAGCAAAUCUGUUUGGCACAGGCCAAAGAAUAAUCAUAUUUAUAUACUGUUAUCCAUAAAAAAAAUUAACUUUGUGGCAAUUACAUGAUGGAAGGACAUAAUACCAAGGAAAAACUUUGUCAGUUACCUCUACCUAUUAAAAUAUAAUGAUAGGUUUUUUCAAGUUUUGUAAUUACAAGUUUUGUAAAACUUGUGUGAAUAAUACAUGAUAUUUAUUUGUUUAAAAUAUAAUGAUGUAGGAAUCAAUUUUUUAUAUGUGAUUUUCUUUCUUGGUAAUCAAAAAGUUAACUUGCAUGUUUGAUUGUUUUGGAGAUUUUUUGUCUUAAUGAGUGAUUCACCUUUGUUUAGAACCCUCCCAAGCUGGCUACUCCUCUAUUUGAUACUAAAAUGGAAGAGGACCCUAAGAUGACAUACAUAGACCUAGAUAAUCUUCAAAUUGUGUUUUGAACGAAGAGUGUUUGGUCUUGCAUUGUGAUGGCGUCUGAGUGUUGGCUUGGUCUCUGUUGGCUUGCUACAUAUCUAGAAAGCUCCAUGAUUUGUGCUAAGCUUAAGCGUAUCCAAUUUGGAUUUUCCAGCUCAAAAUAUCAGUAGAUUUGUUGUGGUAGUGCCUUAACAGAAUUUGAGACUUCUCCAUUCAGGAAAAGACAAGUCCGGUAGAUACAAAAAUUACAAGAUUGCAAGUUUGGAUUGAAGGUCACAAGAAAAAAAAUGGGGAGCCUAGUACUCAAGCUGUUGGAGAGAAAAUAGUGGACCUAAUUCGACCAAAUGAUGAAAUGCAAUUUCUCGAUGAUGCAAUAGGAAGCACGGUCGCAUGAUUAUCUAAAUUUAUAGUAUUGUGUGAUUGAUACAUAUUAUACUAAUUUGUUUGGAUUGUAAGUUGAAUUGUUGUUAUGUAAUUGCUAGUUUGUUAGAGAUUUCAUAUAUUGUUUUAGAUGUUUUGAG